AAAGAACAUUGUGAGUCAUGCACGAUCCGGUUAUUUAUUUUGGAAUCUUUGUUCAGAAGACGGUCAGUAUCAGAGCCUGUCUGGGAACCCAGGUUUUUCAUUGUCCCCUUAGGAAGCCACUGUAGGUUGCAUAAUGUGAGGUUAAAUCAGAGGAGGCACAGGGUAUAACUAGGGCAAUGCCAUCUCAGAGACUCGGGGACAGUGGCCUAUCAACAGAAUAGCCGAUUCCUGAUGACCGUGUGGGGGUCCGGGCCACACAGGGACUGGGUGUCUGUCCCGUGCGCUCCUCCAGGGUUCUCUGGCACCGGUGCAGCAUAUUUUGGACUUUAGCCUCUGGCACACCCCCAGAGCUGGAACAGGAUGCUUAGUAACUGCUGGAGCACCAGGUGCCUUCUGGGUCCUGAGGGGAUUAAACAGCUCCAGGGAAGCUGAGGUCAGAUUUCUGACAGACUCCAAGCUGAAGACAGACAACAGGAAACAGAGCAAGGACACACACAGCGUUUUUUUAGGGAAAAUGAAAAGAACACUCUAUCUGUGUGAGUCCAGAGAAGGCGGUUUCUGGAUCAGCAACUAGUUACUGCUUUCGACUGGUGGGCAGGUGAAGCGGGUGCACCUUGCUUGAGUGUGUGCACGCACAUGGCUUGCACCUUGGAAUGGUUGCCGUUUUUCCAGACACAUGGGAAACUGGAAUUUGAUUACAGAAUCCAAGACGUGCGUAGCAUGAGCUCAUAGUCCCUUUAUUCUUAGUACCAGCCGGGCCCUGAUGAGAACAUGUGCCUACUCUUGGGCUUAAGGAAGGGCAGACUCUCAAACUCUGAGGCAGGGCACUGCCAGUAGAAAGGCAAUGUGAAACACACAGGCAGUUUAAAAUGUCCUAGCAGCCACAGUGAAACAGAAUAUAUGAGUUGAUUUUAAUAAUGUUUGCUGUUUCACCCAAUAGAAU
rnacentral:lncRNA from 1 species